UACGUAGGGGGCAAGCGUUGUCCGGAUUUAUUGGGCGUAAAGAGCGUGUAGGCGGCCAGACAGGUCCGUUGUGAAAACUCGAGGCUCAACCUCGAGACGCCGAUGGAAACCGUCUGGCUAGAGUCCGGAGAGGAGAGUGGAAUUCCUGGUGUAGCGGUGAAAUGCGCAGAUAUCAGGAAGAACACCCGUGGCUAAGGCGGCUCUCUAGUACGGUACUGACGCUGAGACGCGAAAGCGUGGGGAGCGAACAGG
rnacentral:rRNA from 1 species